rnacentral:rRNA from 1 species
GCAUAUAACUAAGCGGAGGAAAGAAACCAACUCGGAUUCCCCUAGUAACGGCGAGUGAAGCGGGAAGAGCUCAUGUUGUAAAUCUGGAUGAGGGUUCCUCGUCCCGAAUUGUAGUCUAGAGAUGCGUGCUCAGCUACUCUCCAGGGCUAAGUCUGUUUGUGAAAGACAGUGUCAUGGACGGUGAUAACCCGGUUCUUGCCUUGGAUGUUGUAGCGUUUUGAGCCGUCCUCAACGAGUCGAGUUGCUUGGGAUUGCAGCUCUAAGUGGGUGGUAAAUUCCAUCUAAAGCUAAAUAUUGGUGGGAGACCGAUAGCGAACAAGUACCGUGAGGGAAAGAUGAAAAGAACUUUGAAAAGAGAGUUAAAUAGUACCUGAAACUGCUGAAAGGGAAGCGAAUGAAGUCAGUGUUGCUCUUUGUGCUCUGCAUCCUCCCUGCGGGGAUUGUGUAUCGAGGACUUUGAGCUUGUCAGGAUGAGUUCUCUGCCGCGGGAUAUGUUUUGUAUGCUGGAUGCUUUUUGCGGAACAUACAUUCUCUGUCGUGGCUUGGACUGAGGUUCCAUCUUGCCGUUGCCUGUGCGUUCCUCUCCCGUUGCUGUCUCUGUUCUACUGCUUGCAGUGCUCAGUUGCAGUAGUUGGACUGUGCGUAUUAUGCAUGCAAGGUCAGGAUCCUGACGAAAUGGCUUUAUUUACCCCGUCUUGAAACACGGAA